rnacentral:rRNA from 1 species
UACGUAGGGUGCGAGCGUUAAUCGGAAUUACUGGGCGUAAAGCGUGCGCAGGCGGUUCGUUGUGUCGGUGGUGAAAUCCCCGGGCUUAACCUGGGAAUGGCCAUGGAAACUGGCGAACUGGAGUGUGGCAGAGGGGGGUGGGAAUUCCGCGUGUAGCAGUGAAAUGCGUAGAGAUGCGGAGGAACACCGAUGGCGAAGGCAGCCCCCCUGGGGCUGACACUGACGCUGAGGCGCGAAAGCGUGGGGAGCAAACAGG